GACGAACGCUGGCGGCGUGCCUAAUACAUGCAAGUUGAGCGCUGAAGGUUGGUACUUGUACCAACUGGAUGAGCAGCGAACGGGUGAGUAACGCGUGGGGAAUCUGCCUUUGAGCGGGGGACAACAUUUGGAAACGAAUGCUAAUACCGCAUAAAAACUUUAAACACAAGUUUUAAGUUUGAAAGAUGCAAUUGCAUCACUCAAAGAUGAUCCCGCGUUGUAUUAGCUAGUUGGUGAGGUAAAGACUCACCAAGGCGAUGAUACAUAGCCGACCUGAGAGGGUGAUCGGCCACAUUGGGACUGAGACACGGCCCAAACUCCUACGGGAGGCAGCAGUAGGGAAUCUUCGGCAAUAGACGAAAGUCUGACCGAGCAACGCCGCGUGAGUGAAGAAGGUUUUCGGAUCGUAAAACUCUGUUGGUAGAGAAGAACGUUGGUGAGAGUGGAAAGCUCAUCAAGUGACGGUAACUACCCAGAAAGGGACGGCUAACUACGUG
rnacentral:rRNA from 1 species